UAACUCCUUUCUUUUUUCUCCAGGUGCCC
rnacentral:piRNA from 1 species